AGGUACAGUGAGGGUACAAUUAAGUACUUUAAGGUACAAAUUUCACAAAUGUGCCAGCAAAGGAACAAACAUGUAUCCAGCUGAGUACCAAAAAGUACCUUUCCAAAAAAAAGGGGUACACAAUGAAAUAUGAAUGGUGAAAGGUACAUAUAUGUACCCUUUGAAAAGGUACAUUUUCAUAUAAAGUAAUAGUAAGGGUAGAACAUUCACAAAUGUACCAUUAAAGGUCCUAUCAUGUUCCCAUGGGGUACUUAGAAGUACCUUUUGGGUACACAUCCUGUAGGGUACAAAAAAGUACCUUAUUCAAGUCAAAGGGUACACUUCCUGUGGGGUACUAAGAAGUACUUUUCAAGUUACAGGGUACACAAUCCUCUGGGGUAGCAGCUACUUGUGCGUGCCUUUUCUAAGACUGAUAGAGCCUUUGUCAUAAUUUGUAAAUGUGGUAUGCUGAAUAAUCCUCUGUGAUAAGUGCAUAAUUAUUAUCACUAUCAGUUUUCGUAAGUAUUUUCAUUUGUUUCGCUAAGGGAUUAUUUACAGAUUUAUACUCGAUUUUUAUAAUUAUUAUCAUUAUUGUUUUCAUUUAAAUAAUUGUUGCAUAUAUUUUGGGUUCUAUAAUAAGCACUAUUGGUUCAAAUGAAUUCAAUAUAUAUUAUUAUAGUUAAGAUGGAUGUGUGUGCUUGUUUGUGCGGGCGUGGGCGCGGCAUUGCGCGCAUUUAGAGAAGGAGUUCUCGCGAUACGUUUCAUUCAAGAUAAAGCAACGCUGAUGAUCGCAUCGCUUAAACUUGUUAAUAUCAUCCUUUACAGGUCAGUGGUCACGCCUCUUUCUUUCACUCGGCACGGCGGCAGUCGCUGGAGCCUGCAGGACGCUUGACAACUCAACAAUGGCCCUGCCAACUUAUCCUCAGAUGAGCUGAUCCAAAAAUGAUAGAAGGUGGUUUAACUAUGACAGAAGUUGAAGUACAGAAAUUCAGAGGUGAGUAAUACCGUCGUUAGUUUAAUGUAACUUUAGGUUAGCUAUGUCAUCACGUUGAAAGGUCACGUUAAACUACUAUUCAUAUUCAUCAGAAUGUUAUUCAUAUAGUAUUCAUAUUCACUGAAUACUAUUACUAUGUGUGUAUAUAUAUAAUAGCAAACAAUACUAUUUGAACUAUCCUCCUACGUACGGUCGCAUUGUAAACAGUGGGGUGGUACUUCUGCUGGCGCCGGCGUGACAUUUCAACGUGAUGUAGAAAACAACCUCUUCUUCAGCUGUGAUCGCGUACAGCCCGUUUAAACACUUCAAAGACUUUUGAAACUGCAUUGAUUUGGACUUAAAAACGAUGGUAGUUUUUUUUGAAAAUGAUCUAUCGUUUCGCUAGAUAACAACCUUCUUCAGCUGUGAUCACGUACAGCCCGUUUAAACACUUCAGAGACUUUUGAAACUGCAUUGAUUUGGACUUAAAAAUGAUGGUAACCAAUGAACUGAAAUGUUUUCCUCAAAAAACAUAAUUUCUCUCCCACUGAGGAAAGAAAGACAUGUAUAUCUUGGAUGGCAUUGGAUGAGUAAAUUAUUAGGGAAAUUUAAUUUUGGGGUGAACUAAUCCUUUAAGCAUACAGUGAACACUCACAGUAGCUUUUAGUCAAUAUAAAGCGUUAUGUUAUGUUAUGUUCUUACACUGCAGUAAGUAAUGCAUUCAUAAAGUGAUUGUCUAUUAAAGUUGUUUAAAUGUGAAAAACUUUGUUUAUUAAAGUUUAUUGCAAAUGAAGAUUGUGGUGUGUGGUCUUAUUCUCUUUCCAGUAUUUAAAUUUGUACAGUUUAACUUUUAAAUCAUUGAUUGUGGGAAAACAAAACAUUGCUUUCUUUUGCUCUCAUUCUUGUCUAUUUUUCAAGG
ensembl:lncRNA